UUGUGGAACAAAAGGGUGCAGAAGAUACACUGCAGGCCGUCGUGUCUGGAGAGAAGCAGCCCCACUUUGAAUUUACACAAAAGUGGGUUCCAGUAUUGUUUGAUGACCAACAGCUGGACAGGAUAGUUAAGUACCUGACAGGCUUCCUUCAUAACUGUGAAAAAAUCUCAGAUGAAGUCUCCACCAUGCUGUCCUAUGACAAGCUUAAAUACAUCCUUGUUGUGAUGUUGCCAGAGGUGACAGUAAAGGCCUUGGAAGAAAUAAGGAACAUGACUACAAAAGACGCAGUGGCAGAGGUUGAUCAUGGACCACUGGAUGAGAGUGAAAUGGAGGCCAUGGAGAUGGCAAUAAGGAAUGACAUGGAGAGGCGUGGGCUUGUGUAAAAACGAUCCAAUAAAGGUUUCUUAAAUCAGA